rnacentral:rRNA from 1 species
AGUGAACGCUGGCGGUAGGCCUAACACAUGCAAGUCGAACGGCAGCACAGUAAGAGCUUGCUCUUACGGGUGGCGAGUGGCGGACGGGUGAGGAAUACAUCGGAAUCUACUUUUUCGUGGGGGAUAACGUAGGGAAACUUACGCUAAUACCGCAUACGACCUACGGGUGAAAGCAGGGGAUCUUCGGACCUUGCGCGAUUGAAUGAGCCGAUGUCGGAUUAGCUAGUUGGCGGGGUAAAGGCCCACCAAGGCGACGAUCCGUAGCUGGUCUGAGGGGAUGAUCAGCCACACUGGAACUGAGACACGGUCCAGACUCCUACGGGAGGCAGCAGUGGGGAAUAUUGGACAAUGGGCGCAAGCCUGAUCCAGCCAUACCGCGUGGGUGAAGAAGGCCUUCGGGUUGUAAAGCCCUUUGUUGGGAAAGAAAAGCAGCAGGUUAAUACCCCGCUGUUCUGACGGUACCCAAAGAAUAAGCACCGGCUAACUUCGUG